rnacentral:rRNA from 1 species
GGCGGACGGGUGAGUAACACGUGGGUAACCUACCUAUAAGACUGGGAUAACUUCGGGAAACCGGAGCUAAUACCGGAUAACAUUUAGAACCGCAUGGUUCUAAAGUGAAAGAUGGUUUUGCUAUCACUUAUAGAUGGACCCGCGCCGUAUUAGCUAGUUGGUAAGGUAACGGCUUACCAAGGCGACGAUACGUAGCCGACCUGAGAGGGUGAUCGGCCACACUGGAACUGAGACACGGUCCAGACUCCUACGGGAGGCAGCAGUAGGGAAUCUUCCGCAAUGGGCGAAAGCCUGACGGAGCAACGCCGCGUGAGUGAUGAAGGGUUUCGGCUCGUAAAACUCUGUUAUUAGGGAAGAACAAAUGUGUAAGUAACUGUGCACAUCUUGACGGUACCUAAUCAGAAAGCCACGGCUAACUACGUGCCAGCAGCCGCGGUAAUACGUAGGUGGCAAGCGUUAUCCGGAAUUAUUGGGCGUAAAGCGCGCGUAGGCGGUUUCUUAAGUCUGAUG